UUUUUUCUUCCUAUCAUACUGAAGCAGAAUUCAGUAAGCGUUGGAUUGUUCACCCACUAAUAGGGAACGUGAGCUGGGUUUAGACCGUCGUUCUUCGUUGGGCAAGAAAUUGUAUAAAAAGCCCAUAAUCGCCCUACUACUUCUCUCAAAACUCAUCAAAGUCUUCGCGUGAGACAGGUU
rnacentral:ncRNA from 1 species